GUCUAGCCCCGAUAGCAGUGGAAAUCCUUUUGUGCCGGGGUUCGGAACAAAAGAUUACUUCACUUAAUUUUUAUUUCAAUCGGAGUUCAGUGAACUUCGUUUGAAACGGAUAGCGAGAUUAGCU
rnacentral:sRNA from 1 species